GCACGGGUGCGUAACGCGUAUGCAACCUACCCAUAACCGGAACAUAACGUUGAGAAAUCGGCGCUAAUAUUCCAUGUGUAUAUUUUGUGGCAUCAUAGGAUAUAUAAAGAUUAAUUGGUUAUGGAUGGGCAUGCGUAUCAUUAGCUAGUUGGUAGGGUAACGGCCUACCAAGGCUGCGAUGAUUAGGGGUUCUGAGAGGAUAACCCCCCACACUGGAACUGAGACACGGUCCAGACUCCUACGGGAGGCAGCAGUAGGGAAUAUUGGGCAAUGGAGGCAACUCUGACCCAGCCAUGCCGCGUGAAGGAAGACGGUCCUAUGGAUUGUAAACUUCUUUUAUCAUAGAGUAACCGCAGGGACGUGUCCCUGCCUGCAAGUAUAUGAUGAAUAAGCAUCGGCUAACUCCGUGCCAGCAGCCGCGGUAAUACGGAGGAUGCAAGCGUUAUCCGGAUUUAUUGGGUUUAAAG
rnacentral:rRNA from 1 species